AGCGAACGCUGGCGGCAGGCUUAACACAUGCAAGUCGAGCGGGCAUCCUUGUGGUGUCAGCGGCAGACGGGUGAGUAACGCGUGGGAACGUGCCCUUCGGUUCGGAAUAACUCAGGGAAACUUGAGCUAAUACCGGAUACGUGCGAGAGCAGAAAGGUUUAUCUGCCGAAGGAUCGGCCCGCGUCUGAUUAGCUAGUUGGUGAGGUUAUGGCUCACCAAGGCGACGAUCAGUAGCUGGUCUGAGAGGAUGAUCAGCCACACUGGGACUGAGACACGGCCCAGACUCCUACGGGGGGCAGCAGUGGGGAAUAUUGGACAAUGGGGGCAACCCUGAUCCAGCCAUGCCGCGUGAGUGAUGACGGCCUUAGGGUUGUAAAGCUCUUUUCUCCGGGACGAUAAUGACGGUACCGGAGGAAUAAGCCCCGGCUAACUUCGU
rnacentral:rRNA from 1 species